rnacentral:sRNA from 1 species
CCUGAAAUACUGCACUGAAUGUAGUUUGUUUCGGC